GGAAGAGUGGCCGAGCGGUUGAAGGCACCGGUCUUGAAAACCGGCAACGGGAAACCGUUCGUGGGUUCGAAUCCCACCUCUUCCGCCA
rnacentral:tRNA from 1 species